rnacentral:pre_miRNA from 1 species
AUGCAGAUUAGACACUUCGGAAUUGCAAAUCCACGGGGGAUAUUUAAAUCCCCCGUGGAUUUGCAAUUCCGAAAUGUCUAAUCUGCAU